ensembl:lncRNA
UGGGAUCAUGGGAUGGUGGGAUCACAGGAUCAUGGGAUGGUGGGAUCACAGGAUCAUGGGAUGGUGGGAUCACGGGAUGAUGGGAUGAUGGGAUGGUGGGAUCAUGUCCAUGUCCCUUCUGAAAUCUUAUCCCUGUCCCACAACUUGCUGGGAUCAUGGGAUGGUGGGNUGGGAUGGUGGGAUCAUGUCCAUGUCCCUUCUGAAAUCUUAUCCCUGUCCCACAACUUGCUGGGAUCAUGGGAUGGUGGGAUCACAGGAUCAUGGCAUGGUGGGAUCUCAGGAUGAUGGGAUGGUGGGAUCACAGGAUCAUGGGAUGGUGGGAUCACAGGAUCAUGGGAUGGUGGGAUCUCAGGAUGAUGGGAUCACAGGAUGGUGGGAUCGUGUCCAUGUCCCUUCUCCAUGGACCAUCGAGCCCCUCUUCCUGUCCCACGACCUCCUGGGAUGGUGGGAUCACGGGAUCAUGGGAUGGUGGGAUUUUAGGAUCAUGUCCAUGUCCCUUCUGCACAGACCAUCCACAGCGUUGUCCCUGUCCCACGACCUUCUGGGAUGGUGGGGUGGUGGGAUCACGGGAUGAUGGGGUUAUGGAGUCACAGGAUGGGUGGGAUCGUGUCCAAAUCCUUUCUGCAGGGACCAUCCACAGCAUCUCCCACAACUUCUUGGGGUGGUGGGAUCACAGGAUCAUGGGAUGGUGGGAUCGUGUCCAUGUCCCUUCUGCAUGGACCAUCGAGCCCCUCUUCCUGUCCCACGACCUCCUGGGAUGGUGGGAUGGUGGGAUUAUGGGAUCACAGGAUGAUGGGAUCAUGGGAUGGUGGGAUCAUGGGAUCGUGUCCAUGUCCCUUCUGCAAGGACCACCAGAACCCUCAUCCCUGUCCCAUGACCUCCUGGGAUGGUGGGGUGGUGGGAUCACGGGAUCAUGCGAUUAUGGAGUCACAGGAUGGUGGGAUCAUGUCCAAAUCCUUUCUGCAGGGACCAUCCACAGCAUCUCCCACAACUUCCUGGGGUGGUGGGAUCACAGGAUCAUGGGACCAUGGGAUGGUGGUAUCGUGUCCAUGUCCCUUCUGCAUGGACCAUUGAGCCCCUCUUCCUGUCCCACGACCUCCUGGGAUGGUGGGAUCAUGAGAUGAUGGGUUCAUGGGAUCAUGUCCAUGUCCCUUCUGCAUGGACAAUCAGAACCCUUAUCCCUGUCCCAUGGCCUCCUGGGAUGGUGGGAUCACAGGAUCAUGGGAUCAUGGGUUCAUGGGAUGAUGGGAUCGUGUCCAUGUCCCUUCUGCAUGGACCACCAGAACCCUCAUCCCUGUCCCAUGGCCUCCUGGGAUGGUGGGAUCACGGGAUCAUGUCCAUGUCCCUUCUGCAGGGACCACCAGAACCCUUAUCCCUGUCCCAUGACCUCCUGGCAUGGUGGGAUCACAGUAUCAUGGGAUGAUGGGAUGGUGGGAUCAUGGGAUGAUGGGAUGGUGGGAUCAUGUCCAUGUCCCUUCUGAAAUCUUAUCCCUGUCCCACAACUUGCUGGGAUCAUGNGGAAAACCGGAUUUUCCCGUGGUUUAUUUGCUCCCGCUUUUCUUCUUCCCGCUCAUCCUCGUCCUCUUUGUGUCUUGUCAAACAUCGCGAUUUGGAAAAUUGUUUUAUUUGGAAAAAAUUGAAGUUUUUGGGUAUUUAUUUGGGAAAAAAUGAGGGGUUUUGGGGUUUUAUUGGGAUGGUGGGAUCACAGGACCAUGGGAUGAUGGGAUGGUGGGAUCGUGUCCAUGUCCCUUCUGAAAUCUUAUCCCUGUCCCACAACUUGCUGGGAUGAUGGGAUGGUGGGAUCUCAGGAUGAUGGGAUCAUGGGAUGGUGGGAUCGUGUCCAUGUCCCUUCUGCAUGGACAAUCAGAACCCUCAUCCCUGUCCUAUGACCUCCUGGGAUGGUGGGAUCACCGGAUCAUGGGAUGAUGGGAUGAUGGGAUCGUGUCCAUGUCCCUUCUGAAAUCUUAUCCCUGUCCCACAACUUGCUGGGAUCUUGGGAUGGUGGGAUCACAGGAUGAUGGGAUGGUGGGAUCGUGUCCAUGUCCCUUCUGCAGGGACCAUCAGAACCCUCAUCCCUGGCCCACGACCUCCUGGGAUGGUGGGAUCACGGGAUGAUGGGAUCAC